UUGCUCGCUUUGGCAGCACAUAUACUAAAAUUGAAAUGAUACAGAGAAAAUUAGCAUGGCCCCUGUUCAAGGAUGAUGUGCAAAUUUGAGAAGUGUUCUAUACAAAA
ensembl:snRNA U6 U6 spliceosomal RNA